GGGCUAGUAGCACAGUGGUAGCGCGCUUCCCUUGCAUUCUAAGUCAGGAAGAGGUCACCGGUUCGAUCCCGGUCUAGUCCA
rfam:Lachancea thermotolerans CBS 6340 chromosome D complete sequence.